rnacentral:rRNA from 1 species
UAGCCAGGUAAUACCAGCCCCGCGAGUGGUCGGGACGGUUAUUGGGCCUAAAGCGCCCGUAGCCGGCCUAGCAAGUCUCCGCAGAAAUCCCCCGGGCCCAACCCGAGGGCUUGCGGAGAUACUGCUAGGCUAGGGGGCGGGAGAGGCCGGGGGUACGUACCGGGUAGGGCGGAAAUCCUAUAAUCCCGGUAGGACCACCAGUGGCGAAGGC